CUUUCCUGAACUCCCAAUACAGACAUGCAGUGAGCUACUUGAUCUUGAAACGACACUGUCAGAUGAGCAAGCCAAAGUAUACCUGAUUGGAAAGCUCUCUCGUCUGGGCGGAAACUCACUGGCUGAAAGUGUGCGAAUCCUGGUGAAAAAUCUGAUAAAGAACAGCGUUGCUUUGCAAUACAGCUUAAGGGGGGCACAACAGAAAAAAGACUUUUCCGCAUUGCGAGUCUACUCCUGCAUUACUGAGGUGCUCCUCAAACGACACAACAGCGUUACGAUGAAAGAAGUCGAGGAUAGGAUUGGAAGAUACUUAGCCGGCGCACCUGACCGGGAG